GUAAAUCUUAGAAAACCUGUCAACACAGAAUGUUUUAUCCAGAGUUUAAUCUCCAUAAAGAAAUGCUUCACCAGCAAGCACUUUCAGAGUGAAUGUCAGUUGUACUGCACCGAUUGUGAGGCUUGCAAAAAGUAUUCUUGUGACUGCAUAGAUAGUGCAAUUCGCUGAAACAUGUGCAAACACAUUCAUAUAUUGGUCACAUGCAGGAAAGGGACAGAAGAAAAAAGUUCUGAAAAACAGCAAUGUAAUGCAGAUGACCAGCAUUUUUAUUAUGAUUUUUUUGUUUUUAUUUUUAUUAUUUACUGUACGAACACGCGAAGGAAGGAAGCCGAUGUCAGAAAAGAAUUAAUGGAUAGAAAAAUUUUACAGAAGAAUGAAGAACGAACACAAAUUUGGACUCUCUUCCAAAAUAAGCAUAAACUAGUGUUGGAAGGGCUUCAAAGAAUUCCAUUGGAUUUUACUAUAAAUUGUCUGGUACCUAUUGGUAAACAUGCAUUAAUGGAAGGCAAAUUGAAACACACUAGUGAAAUUUUAGUUUGCCUUGGUGAAGGGUACUUCAUAAACUAUACUGCUGGACAAGCGAUUGAACUAUGUAACCGCAGAAUGAAACAUGUCGAAACAAUACUGACUUAUUUAAAAGAAGAAAGAAGUUUGUUUGAAUCGCGUCAAAACCUUCCUGUAAGUUGUGGAGCAUUUAGAGACAAUAUAAACGAGGAAAUAAUUGAACACUGGAAUGAAAAAGAUUUGAACAAUUGGAGAGCUCAACAUAGACAAAGGGAAAAGGAACAUCAUGAAAAAAUUGCUCAACAAAGACAACAUAAAUCCUACUCUGAAACAGAAGAAGAUUUAUUUCUGAGACUAGAUGAAUUAGAACUUGAAGAGGAGUUGGCUGAUGAAUACUACAGAUUGCAAGAAGAAGAUGUAGAAGAUGAUGGUUGUAAAGAGGGAGAAGAAGAAGGAGAAAUAGAACAAGUUUUUCGAGAAUCAAAAAAAUAUGAAGAACUAAAGAGAAAUACAACACUUGAGGAAAUACCAUUCAACGUUUUAGAAACAGACAUAAUUAAACCUUUAUAUGUGGAAACUAAGAAGGUUAGAAAGUAUUUAGCUUCAGGAAUAAGUUUACCACCUUCAGAAGAAACUGAAGAGAAUCAUGAUAUAAUCGCGAGCAACGAAACCCUCAAAGAGGAAAAUGAUUUCAGUAAAUCACAUGCAGAAAAUAAGAAUCAAUUAGGUAAAGAUAGAAGAGUGUCCUUUGCGGAUGUUUACGAUCUUGAUUCUUUUGAAAUCGAUGAAAGAGCUAAUCAGACUAAUGAAAAAAAAAAUUCAUACUGUGAACUUAAUUACAAAAAAAUCAAUUUCAGUCACUCAAAAGUUCUUCCACAAUUGAUUGACGAUGCUAAUAGGUUUAUAAAUAAUCCAGCAGAUAUUUAUAACAUUUUUUACAAACCUAAAUCUAUUUUGAAAUACACAAGGAACACUUUGUCUCAGAGCGACGAUACUUCCUUGCCCAAAACAUACGCAUUGGACAAAGAUUUCGAAAGUGAACCUAUUUGGAAAUCUGUAUAUGAGGAUGUGAUGAUAAAGUGUUUGGAACUGAAUUAACCAAACAAAUCUACAACUUGUUUGCCAGUAUGCCUGAUCCCAAAGGAAUCAAGCUGAUAGCAAAAACAGUUACACCUCAACAGUCUCCCAACACCUCGCAGUCUGAAAACAUACAACAGCAGUUCGUCACUAUUGAUGAAUUCAGGCAGUUCGUUAAAGAAAACGCAGUAAAUCAAUACAAAUUACUGAAUGAAGUCAAAAAUGUUGGCAACGUCGUCAAGCAGAGCAAUGAAAGCAGUAGUGACAAAAUUGCAAAUACUUUAGCAAAUAGUAUUUGCAAAUUAGUCGACCAACUGAAAAUCAAUAGCACACAACAGCAGCAGUCUUCGACCUCGACUGAUCACCAGCCUGAUCAACUCCUGCGUGAAAGCAUUGUGGAACAGUGGGAAAGAAACCAAACAAGUGGUGCUGUUUUUGAUUGGGAUCAGCCAACUAUUCCAGUAGAUCGAUGUACUUUCGCAGACAGAGAAAGAUUUGAACGUCGGUAACAGUUGCAGAAGCAGCAACAGAGCAACAUCUCUCCUUAGCGGCAGGGAUUCGGCAGAUCACUCCAAGGAAACUUCACAAGCAGAGACACGCAGGACGACUCGCAACGUCAACUCACCCCACCACGUGGACCGUCCAGGGACUGGCCCACUGGUCAUUGGGCCUGCGACUGGAAAAGCACCGACAAGGCUUACUAUCAUUGCAAGUGUUCGAUCACCUUGCCGCUGGUUGCAAAUCUGAGACCGCAAGGUGAGAACGCAGCAAAAGGAGAGCCGAGGAGGUUUGCAAUCCUUCUGGUAAAAAGACCAAAGCAGCAGACGGUAAGGGUUUCAGACUCAGGCCUCCGCCGGGCUCUAGAAGUGCAGAAACCUAUCGUUCUCAAGGGCCACAUGCGUUACAAACGGCGGAUAAUAUAACAAUCUCCAAGGAAUG